GUCUACAGCCGUAAGCACCCUGAACAUGCCUGAUCUUUUCUGAUCUUACAAGCUAAGCAGGGAUUGGCCUGGUUAGUACUUAUAUGAGAGACUGCCUGGGAAUACUGGGUGCUGUAGGCU
rnacentral:rRNA from 1 species